rnacentral:rRNA from 1 species
AUUGAACGCUGGCGGCAUGCCUUACACAUGCAAGUCGAACGGUAACAGGUCUUCGGAUGCUGACGAGUGGCGAACGGGUGAGUAAUACAUCGGAACGUGCCUAGUAGUGGGGGAUAACUACUCGAAAGAGUGGCUAAUACCGCCUGCGAUCUACGGAUGAAAGCAGGGGAUCGCAAGGCCUGGUGCUACUAUGGCGGCCGAGGGCAGAUUAGGUAGUUGGUGGGAUAAAAGCUUACCAAGCCGACGAUCUGUAGCUGGUCGGAGAGGACGAUCAGCCACACUGGGACUGAGACACGGCCCAGACUCCUACGGGAGGCAGCAGUGGGGAAUUUUGGACAAUGGGCGCAAGCCUGAUCCAGCAAUGCCGCGUGCAGGAUGAAGGCCUUCGGGUUGUAAACUGCUUUUGUACGGAACGAAAAGCCCCGGGUUAAUACCCUGGGGUCAUGACGGUACCGUAAGAAUAAGCACCGGCUAACUACGUGCCAGCAGCCGCCGUAA